GGACAGGAGGGCGAUCUGGCUGCCAUGUCUGUCACCCCACUGAUCGCCAGUGUUGAUUCGGCUGAUGUGGCUGACUAGUCAAGUGCCCCCUUCCACCCUCACUGCGACUCCUAGUGCAUCCCUCCCGAAGCUGCGUGCUGGGCCAUAGUGGAUGACCUUCCCCGACAGAGGACCAUUUUUCAGUCAGGACAUAGGAGCUGCGCUUCCCACUAGGACCUCCAGACGCUGAAGGUCCCUUUGCAGGAAAAUGAGUGUCUCCCAGUGAGGUGCUGCACGUGGCUUUCUUU
rnacentral:snRNA from 1 species